rnacentral:misc_RNA from 1 species
GUUGCAAUGUUUCAUCCCUAUGGUCAAGGGCCUCUAGUUUCCUAAUCUGCAUCGCCAGAAUCACUAUAAUUGCCACCUCUAUCAAGGUAAAGCCAUCUCGAUUGGGGUGAUUUCCUCACUCUGAUACCACCUAACGCAAUGUGAAUCUCAUAAAAGAACACACACAAUUCUCAAAGUAUUUGAGAGAAUUUCUCAUUAGAAUUAUACUAAUCAAAACUCAAAAACUGAAAUUACAUAGGAUAUUUGGGCUAUUUAGAGGUUGGAUCUGCUAAACCUAAUAGGAAAAUAAAUUGACUUUCUAGGAAGUUUAGAUAAAGAUAAACCUAAAUACUUUAGGAA